UUCGUGGGGGGCGAAAAGAGGACGAGAGGAGGCGAGAGGCGGCAUUGAAGGCUCCAUCAUCAGGGCGCGAGAGACUGCGCAGCCUCCGCACCCAGGAAUGAGGGCGCCUUCUUGGCCGCUGAACGCGUCCUCAUCGCUCACCCUUUUGCGGGACUAGAAGUCCCCAAGAUGGAUACAAAGAACGAGAGCUGCCUGGAGAUUCUCCUCAUGCCACUGAGGGCGUGUAGUCCCACGUAUAGAUCCGAUCACCUGUUUGUCACACCUGGAACCGGAAGGAUGCUCUAUGUCCAUGAGCACAUGUGGUGGCUGUUGGAGAAGAAGAAGGAGGAGGAGGAGGGGACUCCACGCUUGCGGCAGAUGGACAUCUUGUACGAAUACGUGAAGGAGCACACACACUCCUGUGGACUGUGAUGGCAAAGAAAAGAGCCUGUUCCUGUCUUUGGUUAUCUAGCUGUAUGAGUGUUAAUCAUCCAUCAUAAAGCUAGAUAACCGAAAGUAGGAAUGACCUUCAAACCUUCAGGAGACAAGAAGGCAGAAGCAACAUCAGAGGAUGUGCUGCUGGCUUGUAAGGAAUAGAAGCAGCUGAUGCCACCCUGUUGCGGACUAAGUGUCCCAUUUGACUUUUCAUCUGUCACGAGUAUGAAGCACAAGAGACUUCCUUUGCUCAUACCUUUCCCAUAAAUGAAUGAAAUCCCAAUUUGAAAUUUGAAUGUUAAUUUCAUGUCAAUGUAUUAAAAGACAGUUCAAAUAAAUACUUAUGUUUUCAAUUAACGUAUGGUUUGCAAUCCUUAUAUCGGCGUUAAAAUAAAUUGAUGUAAGACUGCUAAUAAUUUUGGGAGAUCCAUAUGUUCUGCUCUUGGAAAUAAAGAAUUGUAACUAGUAUUUAUUGUGACCAGAAAAAAAUGACUGGGUCUAUUUGA